GAAUGGCCCUCAGGUGCCAGAGGGCUGUGGCUGAUAGACCUACAAAGCAGCCAGAGGGGCUGGCGGGUACUGAGGCCCAGUGGGAGUAGAUAAAGCCGCAUCCACUGGACAAUGGGCAGUGAGGAGAGAUGGGGCUGAUCCAGGCCUGCCUCAAGGUCACUGCCUGACCUCUCAAGGGGAAAAAGCAGCUUCAGGAGGGGCUCCACCCAAGCUCCCCAGGGUCUGGUCAACCAGCUGGAGGUGGGUGAGGGACCAAGCCAGUCCCACUUUCCCCCAAGGCAGAGAGCUCAGGCCUCUUCGCUGCGGGUCCACCCUGCCAACUAGGGAGGUCCCCGUCCUCCCGGCCUCCUUGCGGGAGGGGGCAGGCUGGUCAGCGCAGCUCUGAGGCGCCGCGUCUCUUUCAGGUGCGGGUGAGUCCGGGAAGAGCACCAUCGUCAAGCAGAUGAAGUGAGUGCCCCUGCCUGUCCCGAGGCCCCUGGGUCUGUCUGGGUCCUUCCCCACUUCCCCACGAGGCGCUGAUUCUGCUCGCCUCGGCCUCAGGAUUAUCCACCAAGACGGGUACUCGCUGGAAGAGUGCCUCGAGUUUAUCGCCAUCAUCUACGGCAACACGUUGCAGUCCAUCCUGGCCAUCGUACGCGCCAU
rnacentral:lncRNA from 1 species